AGGCAACUGACUUCAUUUGUGCCACACGCAUGGGCAUUGCAGCCUUGUGCUCCCCCAGCGAUAGGGGAGCCAGAAAUGGGCAGCUCUCCCAGGGAGUGAGCAGCUACUGUAACUUUUUUAAAUUAAGACAAAAAGCCUUGAAGAAAAUGACUUUAUUUUUCUAAGUGUAACCUCAGUAUUUAUGUAAUUUGUACAGGGGCUGUGCCCUACCCCCUCUGCCCGCCUUGGGGUAGACCUUGAGGGUGGGCCAGUGUAAGGGGAGGGUCUUUUACCCUGUGUCAGAGCCUACCUUCACCACCUAUAUCCAGAAAGGGAGCUUUUUCAGAACAGGGCAGUAGUUGGGGUGGUUUUAUUAACCCCUCAUGACUGCCUUCAGUAGGAACAAGCCUGCUGCUGUGAUUAGGUGAGGGGGUGGGGGAAGUUUUUACGCACAGCCUAGUUAUUGAGGGGAUGAUUUGCCGACAUGUUUGAGAACCCCCUAACCUCUAACUCCCAUUGCUAUCUUGCUCCAAUUUGGGGUGCCAAAAUGGAAGUCACCUUUCUGGGCUUUCUCCUGGAGAUAGCUGGGGCUUAUGGGUGGCUUGCAAGGCUGGGGCAUGGCAAAUCAGGGGCCAGAGAGUGGGGGAGCUUGGGACUCAGGUCUGUAACUGCCCAGCCCCUUUGCUCUGCUCUCCUUUCACUCCACCAUCACUCACUCACUCACUCCCCACCCCCCCACCCAGGGGAGGAGACCCUGAUGAAUUCCUCCUCUCCUUCCCACAAAAGACAGAACCAGUGAGUGAAUCAGGCAAAGUGCUUAUAAUGGGUGUUGUGUGAGCGUGGCCUUGGGGAGAACAUGCGUGCGUCAGGGAUGAGGUGGCGAUUAUAUGUGCAGUGACCCUUGGUGUUUCCCUUCCUUGAUGGCUCUGGGGUGUGUGUGUGUGCCUGAGUGAAUGUGUGUGUGUGAAUGUGGAGUGUGUAUGUCAGUGGUUUCUACUUCCCCUGGGAUGCUGACCCAGGAAUAGUGGACAUGGUCACAGUCCUAUGUACAGAGCUUUCUUUUGUAUUAAAAAAAAAAUACUCUUUCAAUAAAUGUAUCAUUUUUGUGCACAGAC
rnacentral:lncRNA from 1 species